rnacentral:rRNA from 1 species
UGCGUAGGCGGUAAAUCAAGUCAGAUGUGAAAUUCCCAGGCUUAACUUGGGGCGUGCAUUUGAAACUGGUUUACUUGAGUAAAGAAGAGGUAAGUGGAAUUCCUAGUGUAGCGGUGGAAUGCGUAGAUAUUAGGAGGAACACCAGUGGCGAAGGCGACUUACUGGUCUUUUACUGACGCUGAGGCACGAAAGCGUGGGGAGCAAACAGGAUUAGAUACCCUGGUAGUCC